CCCGCUGAACUUAAGCAUAUCAAUAAGCGGACGGAGAAGAACUACAGGAUUCCCCUAGUAACUGCGAGUGAAGCGGGAAAAGCUCAAAUUUAAAAUCUGGUGGUCUUUGGCCAUCCGAGUUGUAAUUUAGAGAAGCGUUUUCCGCGCUGGACCCAUGCACAAGUCUCCUGGAAUGGAGCGUCAUAGAGGGUGAGAAUCCCGUCUUUGGCAUGGACAGACCAGGGCUUUUGUGAUGCGCUCUCGAAGAGUCGAGUUGUUUGGGAAUGCAGCUCAAAAUGGGUGGUGAACUCCAUCUAAAGCUAAAUAUUGGCGAGAGACCGAUAGCGAACAAGUACCGUGAGGGAAAGAUGAAAAGCACUUUGGAAAGAGAGUGAAACAGUACGUGAAAUUGUUGAAAGGGAAACGCUUAAAGUCAGUCGCGUUGUACAAGACUCAGCCUUGCCCUUGGCUUGGUGUAUUUCUUGGGCAACGGGUCAACAUCAAUUUUGCCCCUUGGAUAAUGGUGAGGGAAAUGUGGCACCUUUUAGGUGUGUUAUAGUCUCUUGUCACAUGCAAGGGUUAGGAUUGAGGAACUCAGCAUGCACCUUUGGGUGUCGGGGCUUUUGUCCACGAUUACAUGCUUAGGAUGUUGGCGUAAUGGCUUUAAACGACCCGUCU
rnacentral:rRNA from 1 species